ACAAUUGAUUGACUUAUCAUAAUUGUAAGAAGAAUAAAAUAUUUAUGAAAUUUAGAAAAAGCUACUUCAAAAGAAUAUGGACCGUUUGGUAAAAAAGUCACAAACACAAUAGGUCCAGGAACUGUGACGUGACACAGAUCAAAACUUGGCAUCGAACGACGAUCGUCAUCAUAUUCCAUUUAUCCAUAGUCUCAAUCUCAAACCACAAGAACAAAUCUUAUUUUAUAAUUACGCCCGAAAAAAU
rnacentral:lncRNA from 1 species